UACGUAGGGGGCAAGCGUUGUCCGGAAUCAUUGGGCGUAAAGAGCGUGUAGGCGGCCCGAUAAGUCCGCUGUGAAAGUCCAGGGCUCAACCCUGGGAUGCCGCUGGAAACUGUCUGGCUAGAGUCCGGAAGGGGCGAGUGGAAUUCCUGGUGUAGCGGUGAAAUGCGCAGAUAUCAGGAGGAACACCAAUGGCGAAGGCAGCUCGCUGGGACGGUACUGACGCUGAGGCGCGAAAGCGUGGGGAGCAAACAGG
rnacentral:rRNA from 1 species